rnacentral:rRNA from 1 species
AAAAACAUGAUUCCUCANUACGGCGAGCGAAGAGGGAUAAGCUCAAAUUUUAAAUCUGUUGGGUUUCAACCUAACAGAGUUGUAUUUUGAAGAAACGUUUUCUGCGUCCAGGAUUAGCCUAAAUCCUUUGGGAUAAGGUAUCAUGGAGGGUGAGAAUCCCGUUCAUGGUUAAUCUUAAGGACGUUCUACGAUACGUUCUCCAAGAGUCGAGUUGUUUGGGAUUGCAGCUCAAAAUGGGAGGUAAAUUUCUCCUAAGGCUAAAUAUUGGCGAGAGACCGAUAGCGAACAAGUACCGUGAGGGAAAGAUGAAAAGAACCUUGAAAAGAGAGUUAAACAGUACGUGAAAUUGUUGAAAGGGAAACGAUUGAAGUCAGUCAUACCAACGGGAAAUCAACCUUUUGAGUUUGUUCUUGUGGGUUUCGAGGAGUUUAAAAGCCUUCGGAUUUGCUAGGAUUGGGCUCUUUUGGUGUACUUUCUCGUACGGUUAGUCAACAUCGGUUUUGAAUGUCAUAAAAUGACUGGAGGAAUGUGGCUUCGAUCUCGCAUCGGAGUGUNAUAACCUUNGGUANAUGUGAUGUNCGANACCGANGAUNGCNNCGGAUACCU